AUAUAACUCAGAGAUGUUGAAGAAAAUAAAGAACAUUUUUUUUAUAUGACAAAAGUCUCACAAUGCAUUGCCUCUGCACUAUGUAAGUUGAUAGAAGCUAAUUAAAUAAUUUCAAAGUUGUUGAAACUUUCUGCACAGAGAUGCCUUUAUGUACCAAUGAUUAAGUAUGCUAAAAAAUGCAAGGAGUUUUCAAAUAUUCACUGCUGCUUUAACAAUACAAGGAACCAAUUUUUCUGCAGUAUCUAGCAAGAUCUAUUUCAUGUCCCUCACCAAAACAAUCUACAGGAAUGAGAUCAAGUGAUUGAGAUAGCCAAGAUACAGGCUUACCUUUUAAAUUCAAUGAUUAUAGAAUGUUGCAUUUAGGGAACCUUUGACAUCAAUGUCCAAUUAUGUGAAGGAUAUCAGCAUAUUAGAAUCACAGUUGCUCCUUGAUUGAAAUCUUAGAAAAUGUCUUAUGAGAAUUUUGUUUGACUUCACACAGAAAUACAAGAUAAUUACCAUCAUGAAGUAAGGCAUAUAAAAUAAGGCUAAAUCAGUUGAUCAUGUAUAAUUUCAGCCCACACAUUUUUUGCAAGUCUUUGCUAAUUACGCUGCACAACAGUUGUGUAGAUUUUCAAAAUUUCAAACAUAAUUUUUAAGACUGUUGAAAAUCCUCUUCUUGCUAAAAGAGUCUCAUCAGUAAACAAAACAGUUGUUGACAAUUAACAUUUAGGUACAGUCUGCUGCAGAAACCGUUUGCAAAAUUCUACAUACAAAGGAAAAUUCUGAGCCAACAAAUGAGAGGCAGAAGGUACAGUUGCAGAAAGAUUAUCUGCAUUGUAUUGAUUACAUCAUCUUGGAUGCUCUCUAUAAAAAUAUACUAUUUUUAAUGCAUCCAUUUGAGUUGUACCUUCUACAACUUAAAUGGUGCAUCCCCUUCUUGGGCAGAACAUUCCACAUAUAUUGACAUGGGAGAUGUUUAUGUGCAGCAUCCUUCUGGCUAUGGAGUAUAUGCUGGUGUUGGACUGUCUUCAAUACAUUGUAGCACAAUGGAUUGAGGAUAGCCUCCUCAAACUGAAUAGUUUGUAUAUUGCAAGGUCUCUCAAUUUCAGCAUUAGAUUACUCUCAGAGGUCCUGUUUUAUGAAUGUUGGAUAUCAAAUUUUUGAAUUGAAAUGUAAGCUGGCAACCUCUUCAGCAGAAACUAUUCUAUGUACAGAUAUAUACCAGAAGCAACAGUUGAACAGCUUUGUGAGGCCAGAAUUAUUUUAGAUCAAACUAUGGAUAGAGACUGGUAAAAAUAGUAUAUUUUUAUAGAGAGCAUUCAGGAUGAUGUAAUUAGUAUAAUGCAGGUAACUUUCUGCCACUUUGGAAUUCUAAUUAAGUAUUAAAAAAGGCAUAACAUUAACAUCUUGUAAUAUGAGUUAUAAAAUCUAUUUUGUUAUUUGAACUUUUAUUAGAC
rnacentral:lncRNA from 1 species